CCUCAAGAUUGAAAUUUUUGGGAGUUACUUUGGUAACUUCCCAUAAUUGCAACAUGCUGAAAACUACCUUAAGAUGGCAAAACAAUAUAGUUUUGAUGGCUAUCUCUCACUCUCUAACAAAAGCAUUGAAAAACUCCCUCAAAACAAAACACUCAUCUUGGAAGCAUUUAGGUUGUGGAAAUCAAGUGCAUUCCAUCUUGUGAUUGUAGUUCUUACCCAUAAGUUAUAGUUUGAUCAUGAUCCAGCUUGUGAGAAGAAAAUUCAGUUCAAUUUCAAUGCAAGAUAAUUCGAAACUCGUAGAUUCUUAUGUUCAGUUCGGUUUCGAUGCAAGGUAAUCCAAAUCUACAAGUUUUGGAUUAUCUUGCAUUGAAACCGAACUGAAUUUUCUUCCGACAAGCCAGAUCGCAAUCAAACCACCACUCGUAGAUCCGAAGUACAAUCACAAGAUGAAAUGUACUUGAUUUCCACAACCCUAAUGCCUCCAAGAUGAAUGUUUUGUUUUGAGAGUCUUUUCAAUACUUUUGUUAGAGAGUGAGAGAGAGCCAUCAAAACUAUAUUUCUCUGUCAUCUCAAGACAGUUUUCAGCAUGUUGCAAUUAUGAAAAAUUAUCAAAGUAACUUUUAAAAACUGCAUUUAAAAACCAACAUCUCUCACUCACAC
rnacentral:lncRNA from 1 species